CAUAUGCCUAUAUAUAUAUAUAUAUAUAUAUGUAUGUAUGUAUGUAAGUAUUUAGGUUGCUAAUUGGUGGGUAUAGUGGUUUUGGUAUAAAAGGCAGGGCAGGAGUGAGUUCUUAGAUCGCUCACGCAAAAAUGAUGUGAAUUAAUAUUUGGUGUUGUAAGCCCCACGAGCAUUAUCAGAGCAAUAUUCAAAGCUGAAGAAGAAAGAUGUGAAGUGAAUGAUGCCCUCCCUGUUCCUGUUCAUGAAAACAACAUGUUGCAAACUUCUUGUGAGGUGUGUAAUUGGCUCUUCGCAUUUAUUAUGUAAAUGUUGGUAAUUAUGUCUUCUCUGCAUGUAUGUAUGUUAGUAAUUAUACAAGCGUGUUCAAUUGUUUUUGAAUCUGAAUCAAAUCUUUUCAGCUGAAUGAGUCUGCUAGGAUAGACUUGGAUAUGGCGAAAGCGGUUGGAGAGGGGCAUGCCAUUGAAGGGAGGGGACUACGUUCAACUUUUCAUGAUUGUGUAGAGAGAGGGUGGGGUGAGGGAGGUGGCAGUGGUUGGUGGCCAGUGGCCAGUCAUUACGGGAAAUGGGAAGAGCACGUAGUAAUGAGGAGAGGGUGGGGAGGGUGGGAUGUGUUUAGAUGAGAAAGGUUUUAUAUACUUGAGUGAUAAAUUUUUGUUAAGGCACACAAUUGAGAUGAGUUGGUCAUAUUUAAUUGUUUAUACCGCAGAUGAGGAGUUAUAACUUAGGAACAUCCUGUUUACAAUUUAAUCCCUUGUUGGUUAACUGUAUAUAUGGAAUUUUCUCAUGUUUUGUAGCGCAGGUUUGACAGAUUUGGUAAAAUGAGAGAAGCUAUUAAAAAAACAGCGUUGUGUCUGCUUGAUUCCAAAAUUCAUGUGUGCAGAUUGCAGAUUGGGUUGCUGAAGAAAGAAGCUUGCUAGUAAUGAAUUGUUAGCUUAAACUUCAUGAAUCUAUAAAGCAUGUGGAGUUUUGUUUUCUUGAUGGCUUUAAUACUCUGAAUUUUGUACAUUGUCAUGGUUGUUAUUAUGUCCACCUUUCCAGUUGGUUUGCUUUGUAUUGAAUAUUACUCACUGCUUCUGUUUUACAAUUCUUUUUUAACAUGUCCCAUCUUUUCUGGUA